rnacentral:lncRNA from 1 species
GUGCCAUCUUGAAUUAGGCCCAUUGUUGGAGGAGAACCUAGCAUUGUUUGCUCAAUAUACCAAACUGCUUUAGUGGAAAAUAGACAUUGAAUAGUUCAGAGCCAUCUGUUGGAUUAUCGACUGUAUACGUGAGAUUUCAUUGGGAUUACCUUUUUGUAUUUUUUAUGCGAGUUUUCUUCCUUCAGAUUAUAGAGCCAUAUUUUGUUAACAAGCAAACGGCACGUUCGAGUGAUGCGAGCGCAUCCCGGUACCAACAAGCUCUGUAGCAGGAUAGCUAACGCUAAAGUUGGGACUUUGACAAACUCAACAGUGAGUGAGUGAGUGAUGACCAAAAACACACAAGACUGAUGGCUAUAGCUAAAUUCAACAAGUUGAUUAUUCUUCUGGCUUUAUCUAGCUCUAUUUGUGAUAUUUUACCUUUGCCACACUGGCUUGCUAGGCAAUCAAUCCUCUGAUCUGCGAUGUUGUAGACACGAACCAUCGGAUAGCGUGUUUGUUAACUUGCAUGAGCAGCAUUGAAAGUCACAUGUGAUCAUAUCCACUGCUAUGUAAAUAAAGGCUUUCUGGUCCUAAACUUUUCAUGACGUGGCCAGGAAAUGGGUCAAUACUUCCUUGGAUUUGAACGUGGACUUCCUUUCAAAGACUGAACCAGAGGUUCUGGUAGGACUAAGGUAAGGUUGUGGGUUAUGCAAGCUUGUCACAAAGAGGAAUAGUAGAGUGAAAGAAAGAAAAAGCAGCACAGAUGAGGAGGAAGACACAACUUGACAUUAUCCGCAUGGCCUGAUGAUGGUCCGACUGAUGGUCCUCCACUAUUCUCCCUCUCAUCCCUCUGUCAUUGUGGAAGGGCCCAAACUAGACGAGCCAUGAUUUACCAUCUGAGGGAGGAGGUGAUCUACACAGCAGAUGUUUAGACGUUCUGACCAUUUUUUUUCUUCUUGAGCUGGGAGGGCAGAAAGGGGGUCUAAUUAGAAUUUAUGGAGUGAAUCUGCAGAGUUGCGUAUAAGCAACCGUUGAUCCUUCCUGAGGCCUGUGUUUGUCUGGAAGAAAUUAGCCAUCUGUGCUACCCAUGAGUGACAAUGUUCAUAUUCCAGGAGAUGAGCACCCCGUCUGCACACGCACACACAAACACACAAGAAUGUGCACGAAGGAAUGCAGGUACGCACACAAACCCACCUAACGUACAUCAACAUACCCAACACACAUCAACACAACUGAGAUCUGGCUAUUGGAG